UACGAAGGGGGCUAGCGUUGCUCGGAAUGACUGGGCGUAAAGGGCGCGUAGGCGGAUGGCUUUGUCGGGCGUGAAAUUCCAGGGCUUAACCUUGGGGCUGCGUUCGAGACGGGUUGUCUUGAGUGGGGAAGAGGGUCGUGGAACUCCCAGUGUAGAGGUGAAAUUCGUAGAUAUUGGGAAGAACACCGGUGGCGAAGGCGGCGACCUGGUCCUUUACUGACGCUGAGGCGCGAAAGCGUGGGGAGCAAACAGG
rnacentral:rRNA from 1 species